rnacentral:rRNA from 1 species
UACGAGGGGUGCUAGCGUUAUUCGGAAUUACUGGGCGUAAAGGGUGUGUAGACGGCACGUUAAGUCUGUUGUUAAAUCCUCCGGCCUAACCGGGGAAUCGCAAUGGAAACUGGCGAGCUAGAGGGUGAGAGAGAGAAGUGGAAUUCUCGGAGUAGCGGUAAAAUGCGUAGAUAUCGAGAGGAACACCAAUGGCGAAGGCAGCUUCUUGGCUCAUUACUGACGUUGAAACACGAAAGCGUGGGGAGCAAACAGG